CAAUAGCGUAUAUUAAAGUUGUUGCGGUUAAAAGCUCGUAGUUGGAUUUCUGCCGUAGACGAUCGGUCCGCUCUUUGAGCGUGUAUCUGAUUCGGCUAUGGCAUCCUCGUGAGUUGCGUUGCUGUGCUUGAUUGCAUGGUGCGAAGUUCACGACUUUUACUUUGAGGAAAUUAGAGUGUUCACGGCAGGCAAUUGCCCUGAAUAUAUUAGCAUGGAAUAAUAAUAUAGGACUUUGGUCUUAUUUUGUUGGUUUCUAGGACUAAAGUAAUGAUUAAUAGGGAUAAUUGGGGGCAUUCAUAUUUCAUUGUCAGAGGUGAAAUUCUUGGAUUUAUGAAAGAUGAACUUCUGCGAAAGCAUUUGCCAAGGAUGUUUUCAUUAAUCAAGAACGAAAGUUAGGGGAUCGAAGAUGAUUAGAUACCAU
rnacentral:rRNA from 1 species